UUUCCGUAGGUGAACCUGCGGAAGGAUCAUUCAUAAUAAAGUGUUUUAUGGCACUUUUUAAAAAUCCAUAUCCACCUUGUGUGCAAUGUUAGAUCUCGUCAAUCUUGGCGAGAUUUUUAUACAUCAACUCAUUCUUUAACUAAUUUGUCUGAAAAAUAUUAUGAAUACUUAAUUCAAAAUACAACUUUCAACAACGGAUCUCUUGGCUCUCGCAUCGAUGAAGAAAGC
rnacentral:misc_RNA from 1 species